ensembl:lncRNA
CCGGAAGUGUGUUCAUGUGGCCGCUGGGGCUAAUCAUGUUUGAUCAUUUUUGAAAUAAAUUGUUUAUUAGUCAACACAAUGUCCAGCAUUUUGGUAAAAUGCUAUCUGAGAAGUGAUGAAAAUGCACGGGGAGUGACAUCAUUUGCUGACUUAAAGCGUGCACAAGGCGUUGUUAGUUUUUAUUUUCACUUUUAAUUACAUUAGGGACGCUGGCCAACAUCCGUUCUGGAUGAGAGAAACGCACAAAUAGCUAACUGAUGAUGAUGGAAUGAGCUAGAAUGCUAUGGGUCACGGGGAACCUGGAGCUUAUCCCAGGGAGCAUUGGGCACAAGGGGGGGUACACCCUGGACAGGGUGUCAAUCCAUCGCAGGGCACACAAUCACACACACACACACACAUUCAUACUCUAUGGACACUUUAGACAUGCCAAUCAACCUAUCAUGCAAGUCUUUGGACUGGGGGAGGAAACCGGAGUACCCGGAGGAAACCCCCGCAGCACGGGGAGAACAUGCAAACUCCACGCACACAGACCCGUGGGAAUCGAACCCCUGAUCCUGGCGGUGUGAGCUGUGGGGGAAGCUCUGGAUUGUU